AUUGAACGCUGGCGGCAGGCCUAACACAUGCAAGUCGAACGAGUGGCGGACGGGUGAGUAAUGUCUGGGAAACUGCCUGAUGGAGGGGGAUAACUACUGGAAACGGUAGCUAAUACCGCAUACCAUCGGAUGUGCCCAGAUGGGAUUAGCUUGUAGGUGAGGUAACGGCUCACCUAGGCGACGAUCCCGAGCUGGUCUGAGAGGAUGACCAGCCACACUGGGACUGUGACAAGGUCCAAACUCCUACGGGAGGCAGCAGUGGGGUAUAUUGCACAUUGGGCGCAAGUAUGAUGCAGCCAUGCCGAGUGUAUGAAGAAGGCCUUCGGGUUGGUAAGUACUUUCAGCGGGGAGGCGUUACCCGCAGAAGAAGCACCGGCUAACUCCGUGCCAGCAGCCGCGGUAAUUC
rnacentral:rRNA from 1 species